rnacentral:misc_RNA from 2 species
AACGCACCUUGCGCUCCCUGGUAUUCCGGGGAGCACGCCUGUUCGAGUGUCAUGAAACUCUCAAGCAAGAUAGAUUUGUUUCUGUCUUUGUUUGGAUUUGGACUUUGCUGUGUUCCCAUGCAGCUGGUCUUAAAUGUAUUAGCUGGUCCUGAUGAAGGUUUGGUUCUACUCGGCGUGAUAAUUAUCUAACGUUGAGGACAGUCUCUGGGACUGGCCAGGCUCUCUUUGGAUUGCUUCUAAUCAUCUUAGGAUAAUUGCUUAAUAUCUGACCUCGAAUCAGGUGGGACUACCCGCUGAACUUAA